CAGUCGCCGCGGUAAUACGUAGGGUGCAAGCGUUAAUCGGAAUUACUGGGCGUAAAGCGUGCGCAGGCGGUUCGCUAAGACAGAUGUGAAAUCCCCGGGCUUAACCUGGGAACUGCAUUUGUGACUGGCGGGCUAGAGUAUGGCAGAGGGGGGUGGAAUUCCACGUGUAGCAGUGAAAUGCGUAGAGAUGUGGAGGAAUACCGAUGGCGAAGGCAGCCCCCUGGGCCAAUACUGACGCUCAUGCACGAAAGCGUGGGGAGCAAACAGGAUUAGAGACCCGUGUAGUCCCUGUCUCUUAUAC
rnacentral:rRNA from 1 species